rnacentral:rRNA from 1 species
UGGGGAAUAUUGGACAAUGGGCGCAAGCCUGAUCCAGCAAUGCCGCGUGUGUGAAGAAGGUCUUCGGAUUGUAAAGCACCUUUGGCAGGGACGAUGAUGACGGUACCUGCAGAAUAAGCCCCGGCUAACUUCGUGCCAGCAGCCGCGGUAAUACGAAGGGGGCUAGCGUUGCUCGGAAUGACUGGGCGUAAAGGGCGCGUAGGCGGCAUGUACAGUCAGAAGUGAAAUUCCUGGGCUCAACCUGGGGACUGCUUUUGAUACGUGCAAGCUAGAGUGAGGAAGAGGGUUGUGGAAUUUCCAGUGUAGAGGUGAAAUUCGUAGAUAUUGGAAAGAACACCGGUGGCGAAGGCGGCAACCUGGUCCUUAACUGACGCUGAGGCGCGAAAGCGUGGGGAGCAAACAGGAUUAGAUACCCCCGUAGUCCCUGAGCGGGCUGGCAAGGCGC